rnacentral:lncRNA from 1 species
CUAGUAGUGUGAGAGACUAACAGUCCAUCUCCACCGCAAUGUUUCACACACCUGACAACUCUGCCAAACCGAGUGAAGCAGUAAAAUAUGCAUCAUUUCAAGCACUUCAUGAAUCUCGAAGUCAUGUAGACGACAAGAAAGUCACCUCAAUGUUGUCACCAUCACCAUCACGACUGAUGUUGCGACCCAGGUCAUCUCGGGUGACACUUGACCUCUUGUCCAUCAUGGAGGAGCCUGUGACAACAAUCCGAAUUUUGGGUAUUGAGAUUCAACCUUACCUCCCACCACCACCUGGGUCUGUCCGAAUUUUGGGUGUAGAGCUUCGACCUUACCUUCCACCACCUGGGCCAUUGUUGGAAAUCGACGCUCCUGUAUCCAACGCA